UUCGAAGCAAACGCGAAGAACCUUUACCAGGUCUUGACAUCCCGAUGCUAUUUCUAGGAGAUAGAAAGUUACUUCGGUACAUCGGUGACAGGUGGUGCAUGGUUGUCGUCAGCUCGUGUCGUGAGAUGUUGGGUUAAGUCCCGCAACGAGCGCAACCCCUAUUGUUAGUUGCCAUCAUUCAGUUGGGCACUCUAGCGAGACUGCCGGUAAUAAACCGGAGGAAGGUGGGAUGACGUCAAAUCAUCAUGCCCCUUAUGACCUGGGCUACACACGUGCUACAAUGGUUGGUACAACGAGUUGCGAGUCGGUGACGGCGAGCUAAUCUCUUAAAGCCAAUCUCAGUUCGGAUUGUAGGCUGCAACUCGCCUACAUGAAGUCGGAAUCGCUAGUAAUCGCGGAUCAGCACGCCGCGGUGAAUACGUUCCCGGGCCUU
rnacentral:rRNA from 1 species